AACAUCUGCCCUCCCCCACUUCAUCAUUUGGAUGUUGUCCAUCUUGUGCCUGUCUUUUCUCCAAGGUAUUCAUGGAACACUCACCCUGCUAGGCCCUGCGGGAAGUGAGGAGGGGGGCAAUCUGAUAAGUCUGCAUGCUCCUGGAGCACACCUUCUAGGCAGGGGGACCGAGAGGCAAGGGAAUGAACCCUUUGUUGGAUGCAGUUACAUGCUGUGGAGGAAGAGUAGACCUGAAAGGCAGUUGGUUAUCAUUUUAAACAGCAUAGUCAAAGCAGACCUCGCUGAGAAAGUGAUAUUUAAGUAAGGACCCGAAGGAGAGAUGAGGGAGCCAGGUGGACAUGUCCAGAGCACUGCAGGAAGAGGGGACUGCAAGAGCGAGGCCCCGAGGCAGGAGUCCUCCGGCAUGUGUGAAGAGCGAGCAGGUGCUCCUGGAGGGAAGGACAAGGAGAAGACAGCGAUGCCGAGUCUGAGGGACAGUGGGGAGCCGGGCAGAGCAUGUGUAUUGUGUCUGAGUGCGCCCCCAUCUUGCCAAGUCUCGCGAUGAAGCCCACUGAAGAAUGGCUGAGCAGAGGAGACAGGAGCCCGGCUUCCUGAUGACGUUGAGCACCCAAAUUAGCUGAUCCUGGAGCUCAUUUCUAAUGCUCAUUGAAGCUGGAGGUUCUGCUUCUUGCCUUCAGAGGCAGCCUAACACAAUUAUCUUCCUAGAACCCAGGCGUCUUCUUCUCCAAGGGGUUAUCAUGAACAGUGUCUGGCAUACCAUAGGCAUCACUAUAAAUUUUAGGAAAGAAUGAAGAGUAAAAGCUGGAAAAAUCUUAAGUCCCAUGACUGGAUAAUUAUGGUACCUCCAUCUAGUGGGAUUCUCUACCACCAUUAAGGAAUGAGAUCCAAGCGUGUAGAUACUGAGUCAUCUCUAAGUGAAUGCUGGUGGAAUUGGAAGGAGAUGCAUAAUCAAUCCUUGACUACCGAAAGCUGCUUCAUCAUAGUUCAAUUCAGGUGUGACCGAGAUGCUGCUUAUCUGCAGCCCUGAAACUAGGAAUGCUUAAAAUUCAGCUCACCUGGUUCUUUGGGUUCACAUCUUGUAUGCUCCAGGUGACCUCUUCACUUCUGUUUGGGUUCACCCUGCAAACCUCCACAUUUUCCAUGCUGUGUUGGCGGUCCACCGUGUCUCUCCUGAGACCCCUGGAGGGAGAUGCUUUGCUGGUGGUGGAAAGAACAGAGGCCUGGGUCACUCCAUCUGCUGUCCUAGACUUGUGGCUUCCUCAUUUCUCCCUUGAGGGUGCCAGGGACUCGGGGGGGACUCACCAUGUCCUAUACAGGGGCUCAUAAGCUACCUGAGGUAUGCUGGCUGCAGUGAGUCCCCAAAGAGGGCACUUUGCUUUGGGAACAAGAGCAGGGUUGGAGCUUUCCAUGUUGUGCCCACACCCCACCAGGCUCAAGGACAAGGCAGAGGCUACAGUGCCCAUGACCCUAGACACAGGUCUAGGCUGCGGUGGGACAGCUAAUAGUUGUUUUCUGAAUCUCUGAGGAUAAGGAGAGAGCAUUUCCAGCCUGAAUCCAGUGAGGCUGAGUUCUUUGAGAUACACAACUGGAGACUAGUUUUCUUCGAAAAGAGAUGUGAUAGGAAACAAAGGGCUUGCAUUUAUUCCUGUUACUAAAGGAAAGAUUUCCCAUGACAUAGUUUAGGUAAAGACUGAUGUGGAUGUUUGGAAGCCUUGAAAUCCAAAUGAAUAACCGACACUAUCCAAUAGACUUUUCUGAUGAAAAUGUUCUAUGUUUACACAGUCCAGUAUGGUAGCCACAAGCUACAGGUGACUAUUUAGUGUUUGAAAUGGGGUUAGUGUAGUUGAAGAACUGAAUUUAAAGCAUAUUUAAUUUUGAUUGAUUUAAAUAUGCAUAGCCACUAGUGGCUGGUGAUGAUCACUUUAGACACAUAGUUAUAGACAACUGACUUUCACUACAGUAAUGAUUUGGGGAAAGAAAGUAGCAUUUUUGAGAGUUGUAUUUCAAACACAAUGGUGGAUGGUUUCUGUAACAGAAUUAUCUCAUUUAAUCCCUACUAUUUAGAGGGAUAAACUGGGGGCCAGAGAGAGGUGACUGGCCCAAUGUGGCAUCCUUAGAGGGGUCAAGGGAAGGGUCCAGCCCUGGGUCUGGCCCAUUCUUUCUCCAAGCACCAUCCUGUAUGCUGUGUAACCAGAGAGAUUCAAGAUGGACUGGAGGGGGUUAUCUUACAGCAACAAAUCUAAUUAACACCAGAAAACACAACUUUGUGGUUAGGGAAGCUGGGAUUAUCUUAAGAGAAGAAUACUGAAAGAACCAAUCAGUCUUUAGUAUUAAAUUAAAACAUUUAGUUUUUGGAGGAGAAUGGCAGGCUGCCCCUCUCACCACUACUGAAAGUGGCACUUAAUUCUGGCUAUAGGGAGCACAUAGGAGAAGGUUUUAAAGCCUUACCUCUGUCACGGGGGCACUUCUUUCCACAUCUCAGUGAGCCUGAGUGGACUUCAGGUCCCCAUGGGCCAACUCUGGUCUAGGAGGAACUCAAGCCUUGGGGCACUGUGAGUAGCAUUUAGACUAACCAGAAACUGGUGGCUUCUGAAGCAAAAGCCUGUAUUCAGAUUAUCUGUAGAUCUCAAAACUGAUGUUAGCAAAAGCACACAGCGUGGACAGCCUCUUUGCUGGACCACUCUUGAUACGGAGUUAUUGCCAAGCUUCAGCAGAUGAAUAGAAUUGUGAGGAAACUCUCUGCUGUGGGCAGGAAACAAUUCCUUAAAAAUCCACCAUGAAACUGCCCACUCACCUGUGGGCAGGAAACAAUUCCUUAAAAAUCCACCAUGAAACUAAAAGUAAUUUAGAUUGUAUAGCUUUGAGAAAAAAACUUCUCUUGCAAAGAUUUGACAAGAGAGUUUGACAUGUAACUGACAAAAGAUGGAUUUUUUUUUAAAUGAAAUGAACAUGGUCAGUACUACAUGUAUUGGAUAUUGCAGUUUUCCAAAGUAAGCCAUCAUUUUUGGCAUGUCACUCAAGAAAAGAGCAUCAUCGUAGAC